rnacentral:rRNA from 1 species
CCUACGGUAGGCAGCAGUGAGGAAUAUUGGUCAAUGGGCGGAAGCCUGAACCAGCCAAGUAGCGUGCGGGAUGAAGGCCCUACGGGUCGUAAACCGCUUUUGCACGGGGAUAACACCCUCCACUUGUGUAGGUCUGCAGGUACCGUGCGAAUAAGGGCCGGCUAAUUCCGUGCCAGCAGCCGCGGUAAUACGGAAGGCCCGAGCGGUAUCCGGAUUCAUUGGGCUUAAAGGGAGCGUAGGCGGGCGUUCAAGUCAGCUGUAAAAUCGCGCGGCUCAACCGCGCCCCGCAGUUGAAACUGGACGCCUUGAGUUCACAACAGGCAGGCGGAAUUCGUGGUGUAGCGGUGAAAUGCAUAGAUAUCACGAGGAACCCCGAUUGCGAAGGCAGCCUGCCGGGGUGCGACUGACGCUGAGGCUCGAAGGUGCGGGUAUCAAACAGGAUUAGAUACCCCUGUAGUC